GGUUCUGGCUCAGUAGCAGAGUACCUGCCUUGCAUGCAGAAGGUCCCAGAUUCAAUCCCUGGCACCACAGAAUCA
rnacentral:tRNA from 1 species